AAAUUCUCAUAAAAUAAUAUUAAAAAAAUCAAUUAAGCCUUACACCUUAUCAUUUUUUCAUGUCAAUUGCUAAAUCAGUACUUAAUGGCCCAUCAGGGGCUUCAAUGGAGAAAAUGACGUCAAUGGGCUUAAUUAUGUAUUCAAAACCAUUAUUCAAAUGGCUCAAUUGGAUGCACUUUUAGAUGAGAGACUUAAUUGAUUUUUAAAUUAUUUUUAGAGAACUUAUUUGACAUUUUAACUUGGAUCUUGUAAUGUGUAAAUUUUUAUUUAUUAUAAAAGAUAAAAAUAUUCUCAUAAUAAUAUAAUUUAUUUUAGAAAAAAAAUUUUUUAAUAAUUUCUUAAAUGAGUUGAGAUGAGCGAUACAAACUCAAUUUAAAUAAAUUAUUAUAACAAAGAUAUACAUUUCUUUAUCUUAUUGGUGGCACACCAAAGGUAUAGUUAGACCAUAUAGAAUUUGCCAAGCACACUAAAAUAUGUUGAAAUGAAGGUGUUAAAGUUAAAUGGACCAUAGGAGGUUGGUUUAUAAUGAUGUGCCAUCAAACAGACAUUUUGUCAACCCAUUGAGGGGUUGACUUACCUGUUCUUAAAAAAUAGAUUUUUUAAAACCUACCAACAUUCCAACAUUAGCAAAGUUGACUUCACCUACACCCCACGUGACCAUAUAUAUUGAAAGUCGAAACGAAAAGAGGCAAAAGAGGCCUAUCAUUAGCCAAGCCCUCUCUUAUAUCAACUAAACUGGUGCCAACAUUAUAUAUAACGUUUACACCAUAUUUAAUUAUUUUGUUCUAAGUCAUUUUUAUCUAAACUUUUCAGGUCAUACAUGUUGUCGAAACUUUUUUUAUCGGUCGACUUUUUAUCUAAAAAAUGAAAAUGGCGCAACUUUGACUUCUUAUUAAUAAAAAAAUUAUUAAAGUAACCCUAGCCAAGAAUGCUUUGCUUAGUAUCCUAGAGAGAACAAUUUUUUCUGUGGCUUAGGAUGGAGGAGAGUGGUGGCGCAGAGGGUUUUGAAGGAGACAAGAUCUCCCUAUUGGUAGAGGAACUUGUCCAAUUAUCAGUAAAAAGCUCGGUGUGGUACCAAGCGAAAAACCAACCCUAUUAUGCACAAUAUGGACGAAGAAAUCUUAUAAUCCAGAUAGCUUCAGGGCACAAAUCAAAAGUAUUUGGAAGACAAGGAAGAAAUUCGAGAUUAAAUUGGCAGGACAAAAUCUUUUUUUGAUAAUGUUUAAGAGUGAAGAAGAUCUAGAAUUAGUUAUGGCGGGGCAACCAUAGCUGUUUCGGAAAAAUUUAGUAAUUUUUGAUAGGUUGACUAGAUCGAUGGAAAGAAGUCAAAUCUGACUUAAUUGAUCACUGUUUUGGAUUAAGAUUGGACCAUGUUCACCAGAAUUUGAUAAAAAAAGAUCUGAUGCAUGCUAUUGGCGUUACUUUUGGAGGUGUUUUGAGAUCUGAAAUUAAUGGAGAAUUCUGUCGGCUAAGAAUCAAAUUAGAUGUGCAAAAACCCUUGCGAAGGGGUAUUUUUGUCUCAACAGAAAAUCAAAGUAAGUCUUGGAUUUCUUUUAAAAUAUGAAAAUUUACCUACAUUCUGUUUUGGUUGUGGAAAGACGGGGCAUGGGCUCAUAGACUACCAAGAGUUUACACCUGUAGAAAGAAACAAAGUCAGAAUUGAUCCUCCUUUUUCUUUAGCUUUAAAAGCAGAAUUAAAUUUAGUUGGAAGAGAGAGUCUAAUGUUUAAAGCCAACUCAAAGAAGAUGCAGCCUCAAUGUUCAUACGUAGGUAAUACUGAGAAUUUUACUGAAUUAAAUCUAGAAGUUGAUGGAAAAAGUGUUAUAUCCCAAGCUAAUUCACAAUGUACAGAAAAAGAGAUAGCGUUAAAGCUGUAGGAGGAUAAAAUGGAUAUAGAAGAUAAGGCUAUCGGGGCAUCUAAUAAUUCUACAAGAACUUUGAAUCCAGCCAAAAAAUUGAGUUGGAAGUGAAUCAAGGUAGAAAGAAGGGUGGAUUCUUACAACGAUGAAAGUAGACUAAGAAAAAGAAAAUCAGAAGAGUGUGCUUUUGAAAAAGAUGAUUCAAAAAUCUCUUGUGAAGAUGAAACAAAGAGAAUGAAGUACAAGGGCAAAUAAUUUCAAACAGGAGAAUAUACAAUUUUGUCGGCUGAAUAUUUCCCACAGGAAUAUGAUUUUCACCAAUAUAGAUCGGCGGGUGCCAAAAGGCAUACUGACCGGGCACAAUGAAAACUAUAUGUUGAAAUGUCCGUGGAUUGGGGAGUCUACAAGCAACACGAAGGCUUUGGUAUUUGCUGAAGCAAGAUAAGCCCCAAAUGGUCUUCUUUAUGGAGACUAAAAUUGAUGAAAAGCGCAUGGAAAAAAUUAGAAGGAGAUGUGGUUUCGAGAAUGGAACUAAUGUAGGAACAGAAGGGUCUAGAGGUGGAAUUUGUAUGGCGUGGAAAACAGGAACUAAUGUAACUCUUAAAAAUUUCUCAAGAAGCCAUAUUGAUGUAAUGGUAAAGGAGGAAAAUAUCAAUGAAGAGUGACGGUUUACAGGAUUUUAUGGAUCACCUUAUGUUCAUGAUAAGAAUGCCUCGUGGAAUUUAUUAAAGCAAUUGGGUAAAGAUCAAAAUCACCCAUGACUGGUAUGUGGUGAUUUUAACGAAAUAAUGUAUUCUUAUGAGAAAAACAAUGGUCUAUCGGGGGAAGAAAAAAGAAUGGAAGCUUUUCGCGAAGUUCUAAAUGAAUGUCAGUUAAUGGACGUGGGUUACAUGGGGGUUUGGUUCAUAUGGGAGAGAGGAAACUUACCGGGAACAAAUAUUAAAGAAAGGCUGGAUAGAGGCAUGACGAAUGAGAAGUGGAUGCAACUUUUUCCAAGUGGAACUAUUCAUCAUUUUACACACUCAAUUUCAGAUCAUUGCCCCUUACUUAUAAAUACUAAUAAGGGAAAAAUCAAUAAAGGAAUCUCAAGUUUCAAAUUCGAGGCAUGGUGGACUUUGGAGGAAUCCAUUGAACAAGAGAUUAAAAAAGCGUGGGAGUUUUCAGAUGGAUCUAUAUGCGAAAAACGAGAGGCUACAAUUCAGAUUGGUGAAUUGGGCGAGCGUAAUAAAGAGGGACUGAGAUGGUUUAAAGAAUAGGCUCACAAAGGAACUUGAAGAACUACUUGAAAGCGAUAGAGAUGAUGCCACAAUGGCAAAGCUGAUUGAUAUUAGAAUUCGACUCAAAAUGGAAAUUGAAAAAGACGAAAUGUACUGGGAACAAAGGGCACGAGCUAAUUGGCUCCAAUUAGAGGAUAAGAACUCAGUAUUUUUUCACAAGUAUGCCUUAGUACGUAAACGAAUUAAUACUAUUACUACGCUGGAAGCUGAUGGAGGUCAUGAAAUUACUGAUGAGUCAGCAAUUAAUGAGGCUAUUCAAAUUAUUUUCAAAAUUUAUUCACAUCGAAGUGAGUAGGGAAUUUAUCCCAUCUGCUAGAGGGUGUUAAGACUAAUAUUUCAUCCGACAUAAAUGAAGAUUUGCUAGUACCAUUUAAAGUAGAAGAGGUUUUUUCAGCUUUGAAAGGAAUGGGGCCUACUAAAGCGCCAAGUUGUGAUGGUUUUCCAGCAUUAUUUUUUCAGAGAUUCUGGCAUAUUGUAGGUAAGAAUGUUGAGAAAUUUUGCUUGGGAAUUCUGAAUGAUGGAAAAAUUUUUGAUUCUCUAAAUCUUACUGAUAUUGUACUUAUUCCAAAACUACCAAAACCCACAAGUCUAGCUAAUUUCAGACCCAUCUGCCUAUGCACAGUUUUACACAAAAUUGUGGCAAAAACAAUUGCAAAUCGGUUUCAGGAGGUCAUUAGAAGAAGUAUAAGGCCCAAAGUACUUUUGUUCUAGGAAGAUUAAUUACUGAUAACGUGCUAGUAGCUUACGAAAUCUUACACACGUUACGACAGAAACGAAUCGAAAAAAAAAGGGCUUAUGGUAGUUAAAUAAGAUAUGAGCAAAGCCUAUGAUAGAGUCGAAUGGUUUUUUUUUAAAGGAAGUUAUACUGAGAAUGGGUUAUGCAAAGGAAUGGGUGUCAUUGAUUAUGAAAUGCAUAUCCACAGUAUCUUACACAGUCAACAUUAAUGAAAGAAGAUGAAGGGUUUUUAAACCCACUUGAGAGCUCCGUCAGGGUGAUCCACUUAGUCAUUUUCUCUUUCUAAUAUGCAGUGAGGGACUCUCGUCUUUCAUAAGAAUAGCGACAACUGACGGUCUACUUAAAGGAGUAAGAGCAAGUCGAAGAGGGCCAGCGAUUUCCUAUCUACUGUUCGCAGACGAUUGUAUUUUGUUUGGCCAAGCGACAAAUAGAGGAGCAAGAAUAUUAAAAGGAAUUUUGGAAGAAUAUGAACAGUGCUCAGGACAAUGCGUGAAUUUUAACAAGUCAACGAUUUUCUACAGCUCAAAACAACAAAAAGGGACAAAGAAGAGGUAUCAAUAAUAUUAAGGGUAAGAUGCUCCACAAAUUUGGAAAAAUAUCUUGGCCUCCCUAAUGUGGUAGGCAGAAGGAAAAAUGAAGCUUUCCAGAAUCUAAAGGAUAAACUUAAUUCAAAGAUUGAUAGUUGGAGCACAAGACUACUGUCAUAAGGGGGUAAGGAGGUUUUUAUCAAGUCAGUGCUUCAAGCAAUUCCAGCUUAUGCUAUGUCAUGUUUUCUCCUACCAAAAUCUUUUUAUGGGGAGCUGGAAAAUAUUUUCGCUAAAUUCUGGUGACAAAAAGGGCAGGGAAGAAAAGGAAUACCCUGGUGUCAAUGGAGAUAUAUGUGCUGAUCAAAAGAAGAAGGGGGUACGGGUUUUAGAAAUCUGUUGCAAUUUAAUAUCUCACUACUAGCAAAGCAAGGAUGGAGGAUCAUAAUAAUCAGGAUUCGUUGGUUACGCAAGUUUUUAAAAUAAAAUAUUUUCCCAAUGAGUAUUUUUUAAAUUCUUGAUUUGGAAAAACUAGCUCUUAUAUUUGGAAAAGCAUAUGGGCAGCAAGAGGUAUUUUAGAAAAAGGUAUAUGCUGGAGGGUUGGCACAGGUUCAAACAUUUCUAUUAAUGAUGAUGCGUGGAUUCCAGAUACUGUUAAUUUUAGAUUAUCUUCAGUUGUUAAUACUAUGCGAGAUGCAAAGGUUAGUGAGCUGAUAAAUAGGAAUGCGAGAAUAUAGGAUAGAGAACUCAUCAAUAAUACCUUUUCAACGACCGAUGCUGGGAAAAUCCUCCAGAUACCUUUAGCACGCACACCUCAUGAAGAUCUGCUUGUAUGGGGAGGUGAACAUUCAGGGGAAUUCUCGGUACACAGCGCCUAUAAACUAUUACAAAAAUCUAAUGAAAUUCCAAGAGCUUAUCCUUUACAAACCAACUACGGGAACUUUUAUAAGAAAUUAUGGCGCCUAAAUCUACCGACUAAAAUAAAGAUUAUAGUAUGGAGAAUUUUUUGGAACUAUUUUCCUAAGAAGGUUAAUAUGCAACACUGGAAACUUGUUAGUUCAAACUAUCCCUGAAGUGGAAAAAGAAAUGAAACAAUCGAUCAUAUCUUCCGAGAAUGUCUUGUCACAGUGGAAGUUUGGGCACUAUGAAAACUUCAAAAUAUUCUUAUGAAUCCAAACAUGGAUUUUUUUAUAGUGGAUUACCUGAGACUUUGGAUAGUUCACUACAUGCUAGAAUAUACUUUUCUACUGUAGUCUCUGGGCUAUCUAGGGCGAAAGAAAUAAAAGAAAAAUGAGCAAAGAAUUAGUACAGGUCAAGAAAUAAUGAACUUCAUCAAUAAUUAUCUUGCUGAACUUAAUGGUCUUGAUAAGAUGAAGUCAAAAAGAGAGAAGAAAAAUAAAAGAUGGACCCAUCCACCUAAUGAGUUCGUCAAAAUUAAUUUUGAUGGUGCCUAUGAUUUGACUCAUGAAUAAUCUGCCUCAGGAAUAGUAACCAGAAAUAAAGAAGGAGCUGUUUUACUCACUUGCUCAGAGGUUCACCACGAAGCAACUUCUGCCUUUACAGCUGAAGCAAUCGCGUGUAGAAAAGCGGUCCAAAUAGCAGUCGAACAGGAAUGGCCGAAAAUUAUUAUAGAAGGUGAUUCCCUCACAAUAAUAAAGAAAUGUUUAUCAAAGAGUCAAGAUCGAUCAUGUAUUGAAGCAUAUAUAUAUAUGAUAUUAAGCAGAAACUAAAUAGAUCUAGGGGUUCAAUGUUAAAACACACACCAAGAUUGGCAAAUGCUCUCGCGCAUAUAGUGGCAACAGAGUUGCUGAAAAGGAAAUAAGAACUGUACCUGGUAAUGGAAGUCCCAGAAUAUGCUAAAGAACAAAGACAGAUCGACCGAAGAAGGGAACUAGAUUGAGGAGAGAAUGAAGAAGAAAAGAAUAAGAGGAAAGAAAAAGAAAGAAGAUGCAUCAGUUUGAAAAGAACAUCUUUCCAUAAAAAUUGAACCGUCAAAAGCAAAGAAAAGAAAUGAAGUCUCCAGAUGAAUAGACAGGGUUCAGAAGUUCUGUUUGGGCAUUAAUUAGGCGUAAUAAUUAUGAAUCUCUAGACUGUUUCGAUUAAAAUAUCUAGAUUUUCUUAGCUUUUUGGGCUCCUUUGUAUUGGGUCGUUUUAGUAGAUUAGCUUUGCUUAGCUGUUUUCACUGUUAGGUUUUGUAAUUCAUUUUCCAAUAAUAAGCCCAGUCUGAAAGUUUC
rnacentral:lncRNA from 1 species